AGCCAGCAACUCAGGUCCAAACAGUCAUUUACAACCAGAUACCAGUGGCAGGAGUUCAGACAGUUCUGGAACUGAGACUGAUGACAGUAAUGACUGGAAACAGACCAGAGAACUUCAGUCAAGUUUUAACUGUCGAAAAAAUAUCAGUAUUGUUAGUUCAAGCAAAUGCAACAUUGCUGAAGCAGAAUUUAUUGUUGAAAAUAUGUUAAAGAG